rnacentral:rRNA from 1 species
UGAGGAAUAUUGCGCAAUGGACGAAAGUCUGACGCAGCCACGCCGCGUGCAGGAAGACACCCCUACGGGGCGUAAACUGCUUUUCUACGAGAAGAACACCCUGUUCGGCAGGGUCUGACGGUAUCGUAGGAAUAAGCACCGGCUAACUCCGUGCCAGCAGCCGCGGUAAUACGGAGGGUGCAAGCGUUGUCCGGAAUCACUGGGUGUAAAGGGUGUGUAGGUGGGACUGUAAGUCAGAGGUGAAAGCCCACGGCUUAACCGUGGAAUUGCCUUUGAUACUGCAGUUCUUGAGUCCUGGAGAGGUUGCUAGAAUUCGUGGUGUAGCGGUGAAAUGCGUAGAUAUCACGAGGAAUACCGGAGGCGUAGGCGGGCAACUGGACAGGUACUGACACUGAGGCACGAAAGCGUGGGGAGCAAACAGGAUUAGAUACCCCUGUAGUCC